GUGGAUUAGAUACCCGGGUAGUCCACGCCCUAAACGAUGAUUACUCGAUGUUAGCGAUAUACAGUUAGCGUCAAAGCGAAAGCGUUAAGUAAUCCACCUGGGGAGUACGCCGGCAACGGUGAAACUCAAAGGAAUUGACGGGGGCCCGCACAAGCGGAGGAGCAUGUGGUUUAAUUCGAUGAUACGCGAGGAACCUUACCCGGGCUUGAAAGUUAGUGAAUGAUACAGAAAUGAAUCAGUCAGCAAUGACACGAAACUAGGUGCUGCACGGCUGUCGCCAACU
rnacentral:rRNA from 1 species